AUUUGAAGCUACUAAUAAGGAGAUAAAGACUGGAAAGAGUCAUUAUAAUUUAUAAGGGCUGCUUCACAUAUGCUAUCAAUUGCUUAAUCAAGUGGAAUGCACAAAGAAGGAAAAUCACUUACAUAGCACAAUUUCUGAAGACGAAACUAAAUGGCACUCCAACCCGCUCCUUCAGAGUUUGUUCACACACACCAACAUCCCAAGAAUAAGGCUUGGGUUGAUCGAAGAUCAGAAUAUGUCUAUGGAAAGGGAUGAACUUCAUGAUUUGG